rnacentral:tRNA from 1 species
CCCGCGGAUGGGCGACGGGCGUUCGUGGCCUACGUCCGCGACGAGGGCGGCGCACGGCUCUGCACCGUGCGGCUGGACC